rnacentral:rRNA from 1 species
AACGAACGCUGGCGGCAUGCCUAACACAUGCAAGUCGAACGAGACCUUCGGGGCUAGUGGCGCACGGGUGCGUAACGCGUGGGAACCUGCCCUUAGGUUCGGAAUAACUCCCCGAAAGGGGUGCUAAUACCGGAUAAUGUCUUCGGACCAAAGAUUUAUCGCCUUUGGAUGGGCCCGCGUUGGAUUAGCUAGUUGGUAGGGUAAAAGCCUACCAAGGCGACGAUCCAUAGCUGGUCUGAGAGGAUGAUCAGCCACACUAGGACUGAGACACGGCCCAGACUCCUACGGGAGGCAGCAGUGGGGAAUAUUGGACAAUGGGCGAAAGCCUGAUCCAGCAAUGCCGCGUGAGUGAUGAAGGCCUUAGGGUUGUAAAGCUCUUUUACCCGGGAUGAUAAUGACAGUACCGGGAGAAUAAGCGCCGGCUAACUCCGUG